AAACUAGAGGCUCUAAAGAGCCUGUGUCGCUCACCUUGGUCUAUGUGAAUAUUAAACAAUGGACACAGAUGGAAUCAUGACAAAAUUGUGUUUUGGUGAUGGUGAUGUGUUUGUAGAUUUUACUUUACUAAACAUUCUUGCUGCUUACAAUUAUCUCUAUAUCACAGUACUUUCUGUGGAAAAUGUUAUUGAAAAUCUUCAAAUUUUAAGAAAAUUGUUAUAAAUUGACUAUGAAGGGCAAUAACUCCUUAGGGGGUCAAUUGACUAUUGAUCACUAUUUUGGUCAUAGUGACUUAUUUUUAGUUCUUACUUUGCAGUACAUUAUUGCUGUUUACAGUUUAUCUCUAUCUAUAAUAAUAUUCAAGAUAACAAAAAAACAGCAAAAUUUCCUCAAAAUUACCAAUUCAGGGGCAGCAACCUAACAACCGAUUAUCUGAUUCAUCUGAAAAUUCCAGGGCAGAUAGAUCGUGACCUGAUCAACAAUUUUACUUCCUGUCAGAUUUGCUCUUAAUGCUUUGGUUUUUGAGUUAUAAGCCAAAAACUGCAUUUUACCCCCAUGUUCUAUUUUUAGCCAUGGCGGCCAUCUUGGUUUGUUGGCCGAGUUACCGGACACAUUUCUUUAACUAGAUACCCCAAUGAUGAUUAUGGCUAAGUUUGGUUAAAUUUGGCCCAGUAGUUUCAGAGGAGAAGAUUUUUCUAAAAGAUUACUAAGAUUUAUGAAAAAUGGUUAAAAAUUGACUAUAAAGGGCAAUAACUCCUAAAGUGGUCAACUGACCAUUUUUGUCAUGUUAACUUAUUUGUAGAUCUUACUUUGCUGAACAUUAUUGCUGUUUACAGUUUAUC
rnacentral:lncRNA from 1 species